rnacentral:lncRNA from 1 species
CCUGGAGCUGGGCUUGUCCAGCUCACAGCUCUCCACACGCCCAGCGGCUCCGUCCGUCCAUCCGUCUGUCCAUCCGUUGUCUGUCCAUCUAUCCAAGGGAGGCAGCAGGAGCACAGCUGGCACGAUGCAUGCGCGGGGGCUGCUGGGACUGGUGUUGCUGAUGGUGUCAGUGGGCUCCCUGCCCAGUUUGCGGCCUGCCACCCCCCCAGCCCUGAGGAGCUCCUUGGGCAGCCCUGUUUUGUGCCUCCUGCCCCGUGCUGAGGCAGAGCUCCGGUGCCGUGUCCC